UGGGGAAUUUUGGACAAUGGGCGCAAGCCUGAUCCAGCCAUGCCGCGUGCGGGAAGAAGGCCUUCGGGUUGUAAACCGCUUUUGUCAGGGAAGAAAUCCUUUGAGCUAAUACCUCGGGGGGGAUGACGGUACCUGAAGAAUAAGCACCGGCUAACUACGUGCCAGCAGCCGCGGUAAUACGUAGGGUGCAAGCGUUAAUCGGAAUUACUGGGCGUAAAGCGUGCGCAGGCGGUUAUGCAAGACAGAGGUGAAAUCCCCGGGCUCAACCUGGGAACUGCCUUUGUGACUGCAUAGCUAGAGUACGGUAGAGGGGGAUGGAAUUCCACGUGUAGCAGUGAAAUGCGUAGAGAUGUGGAGGAACACCGAUGGCGAAGGCAGCCCCCUGGGAUAACACUGACGCUCAUGCACGAAAGCGUGGGGAGCAAACA
rnacentral:rRNA from 1 species